CGGGUGCACUGAUCCAGCCGGGCCUUUCCCUCUGUGGAACCCCAUGGCCUUCACUGGCUGUGGUGGGGAAACAGGACUUUUACUUUGAAAAAAUUAGAGUGCUCCAGGCAGGCCUAUGCUCGAAUACAUUAGCAUGGAAUAAUAGAAUAGGACGUGUGGUUCUAUUUUGUUGGUUUCUAGGACCGCCGUAAUGAUUAAUAGGGACAGUCGGGGGCAUCAGUAUUCAAUUGUCAGAGGUGAAAUUCUUGGAUCUAUUGAAGACUAACUACUGCGAAAGCAUUUGCCAAGGAUGUUUUCAUUGAUAAGGAACGAAAGUUAGGGGAUCGAAGACGAUCAGAUACCGUCGUAGUCUUAACUAUAAACUAUGCCGACUAGGGAUCGGACGAUGUUAUUCUUUGACGCGUUCGGCACCUUUCGAGAAAUCAAAGUGCUUGGGCUCCAGGGGGAGUAUGGUCGCAAGGCUGAAACUUAAAGAAAUUGACGGAAGGGCACCACCAGGGGUGGAACCUGCGGCUUAAUUUGACUCAACACGGGGAAACUCACCAGGUCCAGACACAGUGAGGAUUGACAGAUUGAGAGCUCUUUCUUGAUUCUGUGGGUGGUGGUGCAUGGCCGUUCUUAGUUGGUGGAGUGAUUUGUCUGCUUAAUUGCGAUAACGAACGAGACCUUAACCUGCUAAAUAGCCCGUACUGCUUUGGCAGUUCGCCGGCUUCUUAGAGAGACUAUCGG
rnacentral:rRNA from 1 species